CGGCUCGGCCCGGGCGCACCUUUUCUCCCUCCUGCCACAAUGUGAGCGCUCAGCCGCGCAGAUAACCGCCGGCUGCCUGCUCCACCCCCGGCCCUCGCCCACUCCGCCCACUCCCGAGCGCCCAGGUGACAAUCCUACAGAAGGCUUCCCCACAUUCUUUGGAUUCCUGGUUUCUUCCUCAGCGUGCAGUGCUGUUUGGAAUCACCGGAAGGCUGAUUUCCCCACAGAGGAUGCUGACUCCAGGAAUGGAGAAACUUUUUCCACUGCAGGAGAACAAUGUGGCGCCUCCUGGAUCGUGCCGUGUGAGCGUCUCACUAGAAGCUUCUGCAAUCCUCCCAGCAAGGCACUCUCUGAGAUGUGAAGAAGCGGGAAGGAAGUCUCUAUGGUACCAUGGGAACAGGCAGACUGAUGGCAUAGGUAGAGGCGGCAACCCCCCACCACCAGGGAGGAAGACGAUGUCUCUGGACUCAACUCAGAGGUUCUCCGAAGAGAAAGACUUGUUUUUCUCCAGAGAGCAGAGAAGAUAUCUCACGUACCUCACUACACGGUAACCAGAAGGAAGGGAAGGACUGAGGCGAUGAAGGACAAGUGAGCCAUUGCAGCCGCGCUCCCGAAUACAAGCACCCUUUGUUCUGUGGGAUAAAUACAAUCCUCAGUAUUUCAGCCGCGCAGCGCCGAGGAAGUAGAAAGGCAGCUUAUUCUCCGAGAUCCAAGACCCACGACUUAAAAACUUUUUGCCGAAAUCAAAGCCUUUGUGAAGCAUUACAUCUUGUUGUUUCGAGGCAGGAUCUCAGUGUGUAUCCCUGACUGUCCCGGAACGAACUGACUGCUCUUGAACUCACAGAGAUCCACCUGUGCUGGAACGAGAGGCGUGCGCCACGGUGUUUGGCUAAGGUAUCAGUCAC
rnacentral:lncRNA from 1 species